rnacentral:rRNA from 1 species
CAGUAGCCGCGGGAAUACGAAGGGUGCAAGCGUUACUCGGAAUUACUGGUUUAAAGGGUGCGUAGGCGGCCGAUUAAGUCUGGGGUGAAAGCCCGCUGCUCAACAGCGGAACUGCCCUGGAUACUGGUUGGCUUGAGUACAGACGAGGUUGGCGGAAUGGACAGAGUAGCGGUGAAAUGCAUAGAUACUGUCCAGAACCCCGAUUGCGAAGGCAGCUGACUAGGCUGCUACUGACGCUGAGGCACGAAAGCGUGGGGAGCGAACAGGAUUAGAUACCCGUGUAGUCCCUGUCUCUUAUACA